CGGGGUGCAGCAGGCGCGAAAACUUUACAAUGCGGGAAACCGUGAUAAGGGGACACCGAGUGCCAGCAUCAUAUGCUGGCUGUCCGGGUGUGUAAAAUACACCCGUUAGCAAGGGCCGGGCAAGACCGGUGCCAGCCGCCGCGGUAACACCGGCGGCCCGAGUGGUGAUCGUGAUUAUUGGGUCUAAAGGGUCCGUAGCCGGUUUGGUCAGUCCUCCGGGAAAUCUGAUAGCUCAACUAUUAGGCUUUCGGGGGAUACUGCCAGGCUUGGAACCGGGAGAGGUAAGAGGUACUACAGGGGUAGGAGUGAAAUCUUGUAAUCCCUGUGGGACCACCUGUGGCGAAGGCGUCUUACCAGAACGGGUUCGACGGUGAGGGACGAAAGCUGGGGGCACGAACCGGAUUAGAUACCCGGGUAGUCCCAGCUGUAAACGAUGCUCGCUAGGUGUCAGGCAUGGCGCGACCGUGUCUGGUGCCGCAGGGAAGCCGUGAAGCGAGCCACCUGGGAAGUACGGCCGCAAGGCUGAAACUUAAAGGAAUG
rnacentral:rRNA from 1 species